rnacentral:rRNA from 1 species
GACGAACGCUGGCGGCGUGCCUAAUACAUGCAAGUUGAGCGAUGAAGCUUGGUGCUUGCCCCAAUUUGAAGAGCAGCGAACGGGUGAGUAACGCGUGGGGAAUCUGCCCUUGAGCGGGGGACAACAUUUGGAAACGAAUGCUAAUACCGCAUAACAACUUUAAACAUAAGUUUUAAGUUUGAAAGAUGCAAUUGCAUCACUCAAAGAUGAUCCCGCGUUGUAUUAGCUAGUUGGUGAGGUAAAGGCCCACCAAGGCGAAGAUACAUAGCCGACCUGAGAGGGUGAUCGGCCACAGUGGGACGGAGACACGGCCCAAACUCCUACGGGAGGCAGCAGUAGGGAAUCUUCGGCAAUGGACGAAAGUCUGACCGAGCAACGCCGCGUGAGGGAAGAAGGUUUUCGGAUCGUAAAACUCUGUUGGUAGAGAAGAACGUUGGUGAGAGUGGAAAGCUCAUCAAGUGACGGUAACUACCCAGAAAGGGACGGCUAACUACGUG